ACUCAAAUGAAUUGACGGGGGACCGCACAAGCGGUGGAGCAUGUGGCUUAAUUCGAUGCAACGCGAAGAACCUUACCAGGGCUUGACAUGUAUCUGCAAGCGUCCGAAAAGACGUCGCCUUCGAGGGUGAUACACAGGUGGUGCAUGGCUGUCGUCAGCUCGUGUUGUGAAAUGUUGGGUUAAGUCCCGCAACGAGCGCAACCCUCAUUGUCUGUUGCCAGCGAGUAAUGUCGGGAACUCGGACAAAACUGCCUCUGUAAGGAGGAGGAAGGUGGGGAUGACGUCAAGUCAUCAUGCCCCUUACGCCCUGGGCUGCACACAUGCUACAAUGGCCGGUACAAAGGGUUGCUAACCCGCGAGGGUAUGCUAAUCUCAAAAAACCGGUCUCAGUUCGGAUUGGGGUCUGCAACUCGACCCCAUGAAGUCGGAAUCGCUAGUAAACGCCGGUCAGCAAUACGGCGUUGAAUACGUUCCCGGUCCUUGCACACACCGCCCGU
rnacentral:rRNA from 1 species